rnacentral:rRNA from 1 species
CCUACGGGUGGCAGCAGUGGGGAAUAUUGGACAAUGGGGGCAACCCUGAUCCAGCCAUGCCGCGUGUGUGAAGAAGGCCCUCGGGUUGUAAAGCACUUUCAGUGAGGAAGAACGCCUGGUGGUUAAUACCCAUCAGGAAAGACAUCACUCACAGAAGAAGCACCGGCUAACUCCGUGCCAGCAGCCGCGGUAAUACGGAGGGUACGAGCGUUAAUCGGAAUUACUGGGCGUAAAGCGCGCGUAGGUGGCUUGAUAAGCCGGUUGUGAAAGCCCCGGGCUCAACCUGGGAACGGCAUCCGGAACUGUCAAGCUAGAGUGCAGGAGAGGAAGGUAGAAUUCCCGGUGUAGCGGUGAAAUGCGUAGAGAUCGGGAGGAAUACCAGUGGCGAAGGCGGCCUUCUGGACUGACACUGACACUGAGGUGCGAAAGCGUGGGUAGCAAACAGGAUUAGAUACCCUUGUAGUC